GAGACAGUUGGCGGCCCAUUUAUUAAAACUGGAAUGAUACAGAGAAGAUUAGAGUGGCCCCCGCGCAGGCAUGACAUGCAAAUUCACGAAGCGUUCCAUACUUUU
rnacentral:snRNA from 1 species